AUGCACGCUGGCGGCGUGCCUAAUACCUGCCAGUCGAGCGAACAGACGAGGAGCUUGCUCCUCUGACGUUAGCGGCGGACGGGUGAGUAACACGUGGAUAACCUACCUAUAAGACUGGGAUAACUUCGGGAAACCGGAGCUAAUACCGGAUAAUAUAUUGAACCGCAUGGUUCAAUAGUGAAAGACGGUUUUGCUGUCACUUAUAGAUGGAUCCGCGCCGCAUUAGCUAGUUGGUAAGGUAACGGCUUACCAAGGCAACGAUGCGUAGCCGACCUGAGAGGGUGAUCGGCCACACUGGAACUGAGACACGGUCCAGACUCCUACGGGAGGCAGCAGUAGGGAAUCUUCCGCAAAGGGCGAAAGCCUGACGGAGCAACGCCGCGUGAGUGAUGAAGGUCUUCGGAUCGUAAAACUCUGUUAUUAGGGAAGAACAAAUGUGUAAGUAACUAUGCACGUCUUGACGGUACCUAAUCAGAAAGCCACGGCUAACUACGUG
rnacentral:rRNA from 1 species